rnacentral:rRNA from 1 species
CCCUAUGGGGUGCACCAUAAAGGGGCUGAUAUCCCGGGAGGGCUGCUCUCUCCUGCAAAAACUUGUUGCCCGAGUGAACCAUGGCAGCAAGGGUGCGAUCAUUGAUUCUUUGCCGCAUCGCAGUGUUGCGAAUGACCGAAAUCUGAAGCGGCCCGGCAUUGGGGGCCCACCGACCGGCCUCGACAAUCUUUUCCAGAUCCUCGGCCGCAACCGGCUCAUCCAGGUAGGCUCUGACACUCUUCCUCUUGGCAAUGGCGUCUGCAAUAUCCAUCCUCAUCCUCCUCGAUUUUUUUCAGAAAUUCCUGAGACUUUACCUCAAAUCCCCUCAGGGAGCAACGGCAGGCCUAAACACCGAAACACUCUUGUUGCCGGGAUUUUAUUGAUCCAGGAGCAUAAAGUCAUAAAUCCUUUUCCAUCAUUCCUCCAUAAUUUUCACACAGUUUCCCGUUAUACACAGCAGCAUAACGAACGCAGUUUCACCAUGGGGGGGC